UACAGAGGUCUCAAGCGUUGUUCGGAAUCACUGGGCGUAAAGGGUGUGUAGGCGGCGUGAAAAGUCAGAUGUGAAAUCUGGGGGCUCAACCUUCAAAUAGCAUCCGAUACUGUCAUGCUGGAGGUCUGUAGAGGAGUCUGGAAUUCUCGGUGUAGCAGUGAAAUGCGUAGAGAUCGAGAGGAACACGUGUUGCGAAAGCGGCGCACUGGACCAUAACUGACGCUGAUGCGCGAAAGCUAGGGGAGCAAACAGG
rnacentral:rRNA from 1 species